rnacentral:rRNA from 1 species
GAUGAACGCUGGCGGCGUGCCUAAUACAUGCAAGUCGAGCGAACAGACGAGGAGCUUGCUCCUCUGACGUUAGCGGCGGACGGGUGAGUAACACGUGGAUAACCUACCUAUAAGACUGGGAUAACUUCGGGAAACCGGAGCUAAUACCGGAUAAUAUAUUGAACCGCAUGGUUCAAUAGUGAAAGACGGUUUUGCUGUCACUUAUCGAUGGAUCCGCGCCGCAUUAGCUAGUUGGUAAGGUAACGGCUUACCAAGGCGACGAUGCGUAGCCGACCUGAGAGGGUGAUCGGCCACACUGGAACUGAGACGCGGUCCAGACUCCUACGGGAGGCAGCAGUAGGGAAUCUUCCGCAAUGGGCGAAAGCCUGACGGAGCAACGCCGCGUGAGUGAUGAAGGUCUUCGGAUCGUAAAACUCUGUUAUUAGGGAAGAACAAAUGUGUAAGUAACUAUGCACGUCUUGACGGUACCUAAUCAGAAAGCCACGGCUAACUACGUG